AUGGCUACGCCGCCCGCGAGGAACAGGAACCUGCGGCCGGCACGGUCCACGACGAAGGUGGACACGACGACGGCGAAUAAGUUGACGAGGCUAAGUAUGACGGAGCCCAAGAUCGCCUUCUGGCUGUCGAACCCCACGGUCCGGAACAGCACCGGCGAGAAGACGGUGAUGACGAUCAUGCCGGUGAGGUCGAAGAAAGUGGGGAUGGCCACCAUCAUCACCAGGUAG
rnacentral:rRNA from 1 species